GGGGUUGUAGCUCAGUGGUAGAGCACUUGCCUAGCACGUGUGAAGCCCUGGGUCCAAUCCUCACAACCACA
rnacentral:tRNA from 1 species